rnacentral:rRNA from 1 species
GUUUCGAGUAGCAAUAUUUGAGAUGUUCAGCGGCGCAAGGGUGCGUAACACGUGGGCAAUUUUCCCUAAAGAUUGGGAUAACUCCGAGAAAUCGGAGCUAAUACCGAAUGAAAAGCUUUGGAGGCAUCUCCAAAUCUUGAAAGUUGGGGACCGAAAGGCCUGACGCUUGAGGAUUAGCCCGCGGCCUAUCAGCUAGUUGGUGAGGUAACGGCUCACCAAGGCUAAGACGGGUAGCUGGUCUGAGAGGACGACCAGCCACACUGGAACUGAGACACGGUCCAGACACCUACGGGUGGCAGCAGUCGAGAAUUUUUCUCAAUGGGGGAAACCCUGAAGGAGCGACGCCGCGUGGGGGAUGAAUGGCUUCGGCCCGUAAACCCCUGUCAUCUGCGAGCAAUUCCUCCGCUUUAACACGGCGGAGGUUGAUAGUAGUAGAAGAGGAAGGGACGGCUAACUCUGUGCCAGCAGCCGCGGUAAUACAGAGGUCCCAAGCGUUGUUCGGAUUUACUGGGCGUAAAGGGUGCGUAGGCGGCAAAAAAAGUCUGAUGUGAAAUCUCGGAGCCUAACUCCGAAACUGCAUUGGAAACUUUUUUGCUUGAGGAAUGGAGGGGAGACUGGAAUUCUCGGUGUAGCAGUGAAAUGCGUAGAUAUCGAGAGGAACACCAGUGGCGAAGGCGAGUCUCUAGACAUUUCCUGACGCUGAGGCACGAAAGCCAAGGGAGCAAACGGGAUUAGAUACCCCGGUAGUCUUGGCUGUAAACGGUGCGCAUUUGCUGUGGGCGGAUUCGACCCCGCCAGUGGCGAAGCUAACGCGAUAAAUGCGCCGCCUGGGGAGUACGGUCGCAAGAUUAAAACUCAAAGAAAUUGACGGGGGCCUGCACAAGCGGUGGA